GCUGUGGGGCUGGGUCUUUGGAAAGUGAGCUGAACACCAAUGUUUGCCUCUGGCCGUCCUGACCACAGAUACAAUGUGUUCAACCGUCUCAAACUCGACCACCAUAACUUCCGGAAUCAAAAGCCUAUAAAAAUAAACCCUGAGGGCUGGAGAGAUGACUCCGCGGGCAAAGAGCUUGCUGCAUAAGCGUGAGGACAGGAGUUUGAAUCCCCGUAUAAUGCCAGAGCUCUGCUUCGGACUGACAAAAAGGUAGUUCCAACAAGAAACACAGGAUGGAAAUAUUGGCUGGGAACUCAAGCAAGGAUAAAGAGUGAUAAAGAGUGGCACACAGAGCCAGGCAGAGUGGGACACGCCUACCAUCCCGGUACUGGGGAGGCCGAGGCAGGAAGAUUGUGCGUGUAAGGCCAGCCUGGUCUACACAGUGAGUAAGCUAACCUUUACCAAACGGGGCCUGUGGACAUUCUGUAAUAAACAUGGGUGGGGCUCACAA
rnacentral:lncRNA from 1 species